AGUCAUGCAGCGAGUACAAAGCAAACUAUUUUUUCACCUUUUAUUAAAGGAUAUCGUGUGCUCAUUGUUUUGAGUGGCAUUCCUAUAUUUUUUCACCUUUCAAAAGGC
rnacentral:snRNA from 2 species